rnacentral:rRNA from 1 species
AGUCGACGGCAGCGGGGGAGCUUGCUCCCGCCGGCGAGUGGCGAACGGGUGAGUAAUACAUCGGAACGUACCCAGUAGCGGGGGAUAGCCCGGCGAAAGCCGGAUUAAUACCGCAUACGCCCUACGGGGGAAAGGGGGGGAUCGAAAGACCUCUCACUAUUGGAGCGGCCGAUGGCUGAUUAGCUAGUUGGUGGGGUAAAGGCCUACCAAGGCGACGAUCAGUAGCUGGUCUGAGAGGACGACCAGCCACACUGGGACUGAGACACGGCCCAGACUCCUACGGGAGGCAGCAGUGGGGAAUUUUGGACAAUGGGCGAAAGCCUGAUCCAGCAAUGCCGCGUGUGCGAAGAAGGCCUUCGGGUUGUAAAGCACUUUUGUCAGGGAAGAAAUCGUUUGGGUUAAUACCCCGAGCAGUUGACGGUACCUGAAGAAUAAGCACCGGCUAACUACGUGCCAGCAGCCGCGGUAAUACGUAGGGUGCAAGCGUUAAUCGGAAUUACUGGGCGUAAAGCGUGCGCAGGUGGUUUGUUAAGACAGUUGUGAAAUCCCCGGGCUUAACCUGGGAACUGCAAUUGUGACUGGCAGACUAGAGUGAGGCAGAGGGGGGCGGAAUUCCUGGUGUAGCAGUGAAAUGCGUAGAUAUCAGGAGGAACACCGAUGGCGAAG